UACAGAGGGUGCGAGCGUUAAUCGGAAUUACUGGGCGUAAAGCGUGCGUAGACGGCUAUCUAAGUCGGGUGUGAAAGCCCCGGGCUCAACCUGGGAAUUGCAUUCGAGACUGAAUAGCUAGGGUACGGUAGAGGGAAGCGGAAUUUCCGGUGUAGCGGUGAAAUGCGUAGAUAUCGGAUGGAACAUCAGUGGCGAAAGCGGCUUCCUGGACCAGUACCGACGUUCAGGCACGAAAGCGUGGGGAGCAAACAGG
rnacentral:rRNA from 1 species